UACGUAGGGGGCAAGCGUUGUCCGGAUUUAUUGGGCGUAAAGAGCGUGUAGGCGGCCAUGCAGGUCCGCUGUGAAAACUGGAGGCUUAACCUCCAGACGUCGGUGGAAACCGCAUGGCUAGAGUCCGGAAGAGGAGAGUGGAAUUCCCGGUGUAGCGGUAAAAUGCGCAGAUAUCGGGAAGAACACCCGUGGCGAAGGCGGCUCUCUGGGACGGUACUGACGCUGAGACGCGAAAGCGUGGGGAGCGAACAGG
rnacentral:rRNA from 1 species